rfam:Alligator mississippiensis ScZkoYb_106, whole genome shotgun sequence.
UUGCACUGUUCGUAACCUGUUGACAGUAUCUUCCUGGAAAUGGGUUCCAUUCUGGUGCUACACUAAGUCCAAAAUGGGAAGACUGACAAAGUCUGUCUCUCUUCUACAUUUGGGGACAAAC